ACGGUCUUGCUGUCACUUAUAGAUGGAUCCGCGCUGCAUCAGCUAGUUGGUAAGGUAACGGCUUACCAAGGCAACGAUGCAUAGCCGACCUGAGAGGGUGAUCGGCCACACUGGAACUGAGACACGGUCCAGACUCCUACGGGAGGCAGCAGUAGGGAAUCUUCCGCAAUGGGCGAAAGCCUGACGGAGCAACGCCGCGUGAGUGAUGAAGGUCUUCGGAUCGUAAAACUCUGUUAUUAGGGAAGAACAUAUGUGUAAGUAACUGUGCACAUCUUGACGGUACCUAAUCAGAAAGCCACGGCUAACUACGUGCCAGCAGCCGCGGUAAUACGUAGGUGGCAAGCGUUAUCCGGAAUUAUUGGGCGUAAAGCGCGCGUAGGCGGUUUUUUAAGUCUGAUGUGAAAGCCCACGGCUCAACCGUGGAGGGUCAUUGGAAACUGGAAAACUUGAGUGCAGAAGAGGAAAGUGGAAUUCCAUGUGUAGCGGUGAAAUGCGCAGAGAUAUAGAGGAACACCAGUGGCGAAGGCGACUUUCUGGUCUGUAACUGACGCUGAUGUGCGAAAGCGUGGGGAUCAAACAGGAUUAGAUACCCUGGUAGUCCACGCCGUAAACGAUGAGUGCUAAGUGUUAGGGGUUUCCGCCCCUUAGUGCUGCAGCUAACGCAUUAAGCACUCCGCCUGGGGAGUACGACCGCA
rnacentral:rRNA from 1 species